ACUACGGGUGGCAGCAGUGAGGAAUAUUGGUCAAUGGGCGGAAGCCUGAACCAGCCAAGUAGCGUGCAGGAUGACGGCCCUACGGGUUGUAAACUGCUUUUAUACGGGAAUAACGCGCCUUACGUGUAGGGCUUUGCAUGUACCGUAUGAGUAAGGAACGGCUAAUUCCGUGCCAGCAGCCGCGGUAAUACGGAAGGUCCGGGCGUUAUCCGGAUUUAUUGGGGUUAAAGGGAUCGUAGGCCGCGUGUCAAACGUGCUGUGAAAUGUCCGGGCUCAACCCGGGCCUUGCAGCGCGAACUGGCGUGCUUGAGUCCGCGGAAGGCAUGCGGAAUUCGUCGUGUAGCGGUGAAAUGCUUAGAUAUGACGAAGAACCCCGAUUGCGAAGGCAGCUUGCUGCAGCGGAACUGACGCUGAUGCUCGAAAGCGCGGGUAUCGAACAGGAUUAGAUACCCUAGUAGUC
rnacentral:rRNA from 1 species